UAUAUGUUUCUUAGAUCUUUUCAGAUUUUACUCAACGCAGUGUGCGUCUAGGGAGAUAACACAUACGUCACUUCGUUGUGUCGAUUUUGGUUUUGUUGAUCUUUCGCCUUGUUGAGUAAGAUAGCGUAUGC